rnacentral:rRNA from 1 species
CUACGGGUGGCAGCAGUGAGGAAUAUUGCACAAUGGAGGAAACUCUGAUGCAGCAACGCCGCGUGGAGGAUGACGCAUUUCGGUGUGUAAACUCCUUUUAUAUGUCAAGAAAAUGACGGUAGCAUAUGAAUAAGCACCGGCUAACUCCGUGCCAGCAGCCGCGGUAAUACGGAGGGUGCAAGCGUUACCCGGAAUCACUGGGCGUAAAGGACGCGUAGGCGGGAUAUCAAGUCAGGUGUGAAAUCCUACAGCUUAACUGUAGAACUGCGCUUGAAACUGGUAACCUAGAGUAUGGGAGGGGGAGAUGGAAUUAGUGGUGUAGGGGUAAAAUCCGUAGAUAUCACUAGGAAUACCUAAAGCGAAGGCGAUCUCCUGGAACAUAACUGACGCUAAGGCGUGAAAGCGUGGGGAGCAAACAGGAUUAGAUACCCGAGUAGUC